rnacentral:rRNA from 1 species
UACGGGGGGUGCGAGCGUUAAUCGGAAUUAUUGGGCGUAAAGGGUGCGUAGGUGGUUUAAUAAGUUAACUGUGAAAUUCCUGGGCUUAACCUGGGGGUGUCGGUUAAUACUGUUAGACUUGAGUUUAGUAGAGGGUAGUGGAAUUUCCGGUGUAGCGGUGAAAUGCGUAGAGAUCGGAAGGAACACCGGUGGCGAAGGCGGCUACCUGGGCUAACACUGACACUGAGGCACGAAAGCGUGGGGAGCAAACAGG